rnacentral:rRNA from 2 species
AUUAACAUGCAGUCGUACGAUGAUAGCCCAGCUUGCUGGGUGGAUUAGUGGCGAACGGGUGAGUAACACGUGAGUAACCUGCCCUUAACUCUGGGAUAAGCCUGGGAAACUGGGUCUAAUACCGGAUAGGAGCGUCCACCGCAUGGUGGGUGUUGGAAAGAUUUAUCGGUUUUGGAUGGACUCGCGGCCUAUCAGCUUGUUGGUGAGGUAAUGGCUCACCAAGGCGACGACGGGUAGCCGGCCUGAGAGGGUGACCGGCCACACUGGGACUGAGACACGGCCCAGACUCCUACGGGAGGCAGCAGUGGGGAAUAUUGCACAAUGGGCGAAAGCCUGAUGCAGCGACGCCGCGUGAGGGAUGACGGCCUUCGGGUUGUAAACCUCUUUCAGUAGGGAAGAAGCGAAAGUGACGGUACCUGCAGAAGAAGCACCGGCUAACUACGUGCCAGCAGCCGCGGUAAUACGUAGGGUGCGAGCGUUAUCCGGAAUUAUUGGGCGUAAAGAGCUCGUAGGCGGUUUGUCGCGUCUGUCGUGAAAGUCCGGGGCUUAACCCCGGAUCUGCGGUGGGUACGGGCAGACUAGAGUGCAGUAGGGGAGACUGGAAUUCCUGGUGUAGCGGUGGAAUGCGCAGAUAUCAGGAGGAACACCGAUGGCGAAGGCAGGUCUCUGGGCUGUAACUGACGCUGAGGAGCGAAAGCAUGGGGAGCGAACAGGAUUAGAUACCCUGGUAGUCCAUGCCGUAAACGUUGGGCACUAGGUGUGGGGACCAUUCCACGGUUUCCGCGCCGCAGCUAACGCAUUAAGUGCCCCGCCUGGGGAGUACGGCCGCAAGGCUAAAACUCAAAGGAAUUGACGGGGGCCCGCACAAGCGGCGGAGCAUGCGGAUUAAUUCGAUGCAACGCGAAGAACCUUACCAAGGCUUGACAUGUUCUCGAUCGCCGUAGAGAUACGGUUUCCCCUUUGGGGCGGGUUCACAGGUGGUGCAUGGUUGUCGUCAGCUCGUGUCGUGAGAUGUUGGGUUAAGUCCGC